CUGAUGCUGGAAUACAAAAAAUAAUAUAGCACAGAGAUAGUCCUGGCCCUGAAGGCACCUACAAUCUAAGCGUAUGAUAACACAGCAAAAGCAGUGCACCGGCUAGCCAACCUGAGCUGGCUGCAUCCAGCUGGCGCAGAUCUUAGCAGAAGUGAGGAAAGUGCAGGAUGAGCUUCAGAGUAGGCUAGCGAGACAAGUACAUACCUGGGGUCAGACCAUGUGGUACAACCCCAGCACGGAGGCCUCCACCAUUGCCUGUGCUAACUGGAUUCAAACUAGCUUGGUUAGGCUAGUCCAGGCACAGCUUUCGCUGAGGAGAUGUAUGUUAGGUGGAUUAGUUUAUAGAUGACUAGUGGAUAAAACGGAUGGAGGAGCGCAAGGUAACAACGAGAUGUGGUGCUCAGCAUUAACACCACAAACCAACUGCCUAAGCAUUGAGACUUCGCUCCUGGUUCUGGGAGAGACUGAGCUCUGUAAAUUCCUAUUCAAGUCAAUAAGGGGAAGAAUGGUAUUGAUCUUAAGGCACUGAACUGGGACUCAAGUGAUCUCCUGGUUCAAUUCCCAGUACUGCCAAGGCUUCCUGGGUGACCUCAGAGGAAGGCACCUGUGGACUUACUCUGCCUUUUUGGAGCAGCGGAGACAGAAGCAGACCCAUCCGAGGAGACGCAUGCCAUGCCUGGGAGAUUGUAGGACCCAUUUGGGGUUGUAGUAAACGACACUUCGAUUAAUACCUGUUCAAAAUUUUCCUUGAGCAAACUAUAUUUUUUGCAUCCAGAACAUCACCAUAAAUUGCUACAACUUGCUGUAGUGUUCCACCCCCAUCUCUGAAUGUGUUGUAGCUUGUGAUAAUUUCAAUAAAAUAUUUUGAGCAUGCAGAGAGACAUUGUUAGUGACUUUUGUCACAAGAUGGAUGCACUUCGCUCAACAGAGCAGUCAGUCUUUGAAGGAAAUAUAUCAAAACCAGGCAAGGCGGAGACAAGCAUCUGAAUGCAACAGGGAAAGAAGAAUUGCCUCCUCCAGUUGCCAGACAGUCCCUCAGUUUAACAGCAAAGUCACUGAAACAGAUGCAAAUCACACACCACGGCUGUCUAUGUUUAGAAACCAAUACACGAUGUGAACUCUCACAGACUAUUAAGCAGGUGGCAACCAUUUAGCUUCAGUAUUGCAUGCUCUCUAAGGAAAAGAAAUAUACCUGACAGAUGCUCACUAUUCCGAGUGUACCUGAAUAGACAGAGGGCAGACACUGGACAACAUCCUGUUCUCUUGGGUGAUGUCUACACUGGCAACUGAGUGACACAACUUUUGUCUUUUGGGGUUGGGGGGGAUGGUGUGGUUUUUUUUAAACACUUCAGUCAGCAAAACUUGUGUCUUUCAGAAGUGCUCUCUGCCAACAAAGCUAACCUCCGCUUGGUGGGGGUGGAAAUAUUUUGUCGGCAGGAGAGGCGCACAGGGUAGCCGCUGUCUGCUUUUAGCAGCACGGCUGUAGUGAACUAGCCAUGAUGCUAAAAGCGGCAUAGUGCAGACAGCCUUACUCUGGAUUAAACUGAUCAAACUCAGCUGGAGUUAGUGGAAGUGCACUGUUUUAAAUGAGAUGAAAAUCAGACCCACUAGUCUCCAGUUGAAUUUGCCUCCCAAAUAUACAUGCUGCUAGUGAGUGAAUCAAAGGUAGCUGAAAUGCUAUAUGCAUUGCUUCCCUGUGAUUAGUAGCAGCUGAUGACAGUGUUUUCUGGACUAUUUUAGGGUCCUAUCCUGCAAAUGCCAAGUACACUCAACUCCCUUUUAAUUCAGUUGUGACUUGUGGGUGCUUAUACAAUCGAGUCUUUUAUUUGCUCUUUUAUUUGAGUGCCCACUCCUGGAAUCUUAGUCACAUGAGCAGGCUU